rnacentral:rRNA from 1 species
UAGCGGUGAAUGCGUAGAUAUAGGAAGGAACACCAGUGGCGAAGGCGACCACCUGGACUGAUACUGACACUGAGGUGCGAAAGCGUGGGGAGCWMAYARGAUUAGAUACCCUGGUAGUCCACGCCGUAAACGAUGUCAACUAGCCGUUGGARUCCUUGAGAUUUUAGUGKYSCAGCUAACGCAUUAAGUUGACCGCCUGG